rnacentral:rRNA from 1 species
CCAAUAGCGUAUAUUAAAGUUGUUGCAGUUAAAAAGCUCGUAGUUGAAUUUCGGGGUCAGUAGGUUGGUCGUGCCACUGGUAUGUACUGGUCUCACUGAUUCCUCCUUCCUGAUGAGCUGUAAUGCCGUUAAUUUGGUGUUGCAGGGAAUCUGGACUGUUACUUUGAAAAAAUUAGAGUGGUUAAAGCAGGCUAACGCUUGAAUACAUUAGCAUGGAAUAAUGAAAUAGGACGUUCGAUCCUAUUUUGUUGGUUUCUAGGAUUGACGUAAUGAUUAAUAGGGAUAGUUGGGGGCAUUAGUAUUCAAUUGUCAGAGGUGAAAUUCUUGGAUUUAUUGAAGACUAACUACUGCGAAAGCAUUUGCCAAGGAUGUUUUCAUUAAUCAAGAACGAAAGUUAGGGGAUCGAAGACGAUCAGAUACCGUCGUAGUCUUAACCAUAAACUAUGCCGACUAGGGAUCGGAUGAUGUUAAUUUUUUAAUGACUCAUUCGGCGCCUUACG